rnacentral:lncRNA from 1 species
CUUUCCUGUGCUAUUCUGGAGACAGUGAAUAAAUCUCACAAGAUCUGAUGGUUUUACGAAGGGGGGUUUCCCUGCACAAGUUCUCUUCUCUUGUCUGCCUCCAUGUGAGACAUGCCUUUCACCUUCUGCCAUGAUUGUGAUGCCACCCCAGCCACGUGAACUGUCACCUGACCCAGCUCAGGAGCUUGAAGAAAGGGCCAAUGGACCAGGCCUGAGAAGUGACUACUUCCUAAGAAAUGGAUGGCAGUGUAAGAAAAUAAACAACUUGCUAAAACUGCUGAAACUCCCUCUGCUUGUGAGAUUUAAAAAAAAUGGAUGAAAUUGGUUGGAACCAACAUGGCCAAUGGAGUCUGAGUAGAAAGAGCUUGCUGACGUCACAGCCCGAAUUUCCACCACAUUUCAUACUAACUCCCCCUAAAUUUGCAUAUGCAAACCACGAGCAAGGAUGAUCAAACAGACAACUGCGCAUGUCCGAGGACUUUCCAGAUCUCCCCUUUCCUUCCACCAAUCACUUACUAAUCUGAGAAUCCAUCCCCUAAUAAAAUCACUGCCUUAAAACCUGCACAGGAAGACAAAUUUGAGCUGGACUUAGUGUCUCUUUAUUAGUCGACUUGCAAUAAAAAAGCUUUCUUUUCCC